AAUACUUUAGAAAAAUUUAUUAGAUUUGUGUGAAUUCGAAUAGCAUUUCAUUUAUAUAUACAUAUAUAGAAUUGGACUGGGCUGCUAUUAGUAGCAAAAUCUCAUUGUUGCUAUCAGUUUUUUAGCCUUUGGAUCAACUCUUUUCAUUAUUUCUAACCAUUGGAUUAAAUACUAUAACCCAGUGGGGACCACUCAACCCUAGGGGAACCACUUAACUCUAACCGACAAAUAUCAUCCUGACCCUACAAAUUUUCAUCCAAGGAUUAAAAACUUGAUAGCAAAAAGAACAUUUUACUAUUAAUAGUAUUCCAGCCUAAUUUUCUCUCUCUCUCUCUCUCUCUCUAUAUAUAUAUAUAUAUAUAUAGUUGAGUUGGAAUGCUAUCGGUAGCAAACGGGUUCCGUUGCCAUUCAUUUAUUUUCGAUGAUGAAACUUCUAAAUCGACGAUUAGUACCGUUGAAUAUGAUCUAUACCAUUUGAAGCAUCUAGAAACCAAAUUUCAUAUUUUUCUAAUAUUAUUUUCGUGACCAUCAAAUAGACACAAAAUGAACUGCUGAAAUGAAUAUUCUUUAAAAAGUGAUAAUAGGAAUCUUGUAAUCGAGAUCGAGAGUAUAGAUCUUAUUCUAAAUAGUUUAAAAAUUUUUUUAACUAAAAUUUAUUUGAUUUGGAUAUCCUUACACUGUUAAACGAGAAAACGUCUCAUAUCGACCAUUAAAAUUACAAAUUUUGAAAACUCUUUGAUCAUUAGGGUAAUGAUGUCGAAAAAAAUUAAAUUUUGGUUUCUGGAUACUUCAAGUGGUAUAGAUUAUGUUCAACGAUACCGAUUGUCGAUUUAGAGUCUCCAUCAUAAAAAAUAAAUUGGUGACAAUAGAGCCUGUUUGCUAUCAACCGUAUUAUAGCUCAACUCUCUCUCUCUCUAGAGCUCUCUCUCUCUCUAUAUAUAUAUAUAUAUGCGCGAUUAAUGAGAUGAGCUACAUCAGAUGUUUCAUAAAUAAAAAAUUAAAUAAUUUUAAAAUUUAUAUUUUAAAUUUGCUAAAACGUUUCUGAAGCUAUUUUGAUAGAGCAAAACUGAUAGUACAUUUACAUAAAUUUUAGCACGAAAAUUAAAGAAUCUUUUAAGUAGCUUUGUAUUAUGUUCCUUACCUAAUAGUUCAACAAUAAAAUUUAGUAAAAAAAAAAACCUAAGUUUAUUCCAUCAUAUGUGGCUUGAUUUUGACUUAAGAGGCGUUUGGUUCGGCAGAAAACGAAUCGAAAAAUUAUUUUCGAUGUGAAAAAUAGGUUUUCGCUUGCUUAGUUCGACGUAAAAUAAUUUUCUAUAAAAGUAUUGUUAUGAUUUUGGGGAAAAAAAAAUUAAGUUUUCAUUUUUCUCAUUAUUUUUCGAUAAAAAACGAAAACUCAAACGGCAUAAAAUUAAUUAAUUAAUUUAUUUUUUUCCACUGAACCAAACAAAUGUGAUUUCUUUUUCGUUCAGCUAAACAAAUGUUGAUGAAAAAUUACUUUUCUGUUUCUAUAAAUUAAACACUACAAAACAUAAAUUUUUUUUCACCAAAAAUUUCUUUGGAUAGAAAAUUAUUUUUAUGAUUUUACGU
rnacentral:lncRNA from 1 species